AUCGUUUGCUGGGAGCUUCUGGCUUGUGUCGAGGUUUAAAUUAUUCCGUUCCUUUCUUUAUCCGUUAACAAUUUCGUUUUCAUUUCUUUUAGUUUCACUUUCCUUUCUGCUGUAGUUUCAUUUUUUUUUCGAAGAACGCUUUUGUUUUUGUUUUUUGACUAAAGACAGCAAGUGGAGUCCACCCGUGUCGGAUCCGUCUGAAUAAUAUCAAAAAAUCUUCGACAGAGAAACUGAAACUAUGCCACUGAAGAAGACAGUCGGAGGAAAAAUGGCUGCAAAAAAGAAAACGAAGGCUAAGACAGCUAGACCAAAAGUGGCUUCAAAAAAGAAAACGAAGGCUAAUACAGUCAGAGCAAAAUCAGCUUCGAGAAAGAAAACAAAGACUAAGCCAGUAGAAGUGAAUCAGGGACCAAAAAAAGGAAAAAAAGUUACAGUUCAAGGAAACAAGCCUGCACCUCCCAAAAUGAAAGCAAAUCCAAACACAGGAAUGAAGUCAACAAACAACAAACCAAAAGCUGGUGCAGUGAAAAGAGUGGUGGGACCGCAGAAGAGAAAAAAUCCUAAUCCAGCAGAAGGCCAGAAUCUAGCAAAAAAGAAGAGAAAGUCUCCAGCAUGUAAUACGCAAAGCAUGUCCGUGAUGGCUCUUCCUAAAGUCCAGCGAUCAAUUGCAUCUCCUCCGACCAUUCUUCCUGUUUGUAACGUCACGGUUCAAACAUCUGCCAGGAGCGAUUCUUGCCAGCCUUCAGGUGGCCCAAUGAAUCGAUUUAAUAACGGUGACACGAUCAACCAAGGAGUUACUAACAAUGCUGCAGUGUGUGCACAGAGAGAUAAGAUAGACAACUCUCAAUCUGGAAGCGACAAUAUUCAAGAUGAAAACCUGUUGUUUCUAAGGAAAAACAAUGUUAAGUUAAUCGACAGGCUAAAAAAUGUCGUCGAAAUCCUUGAUCGCCUCCAAUUAACCAACGAAAAAGCAGCGAUAGUGCGAGCAGAGAAGAUCAGGAGAGGAUGAGGAAGCUUCUGGAGUUCACGACCAGCACACAUGGUGCAGAACGUCUAGUCACAGCCUUGUGGAGCUGCGCAAGCGAUGUCAUGGAAGACCUGACCAACACCAACUGAAGAUCAACGAAUAGAUUCCAGCUCUGACGCAUCACUUCGAUUUCAUCGAUGAGUGAACGUCAACGGGUCAUAUCAUUUUUCUAAUGUUUUUAUCUAAAGUUGUUUGUUGUCUUAUUUUAUUAUUAUUAUUUUAUUUUUUUAUUUUUUUACAUACAUGUAUUUUUCUAUACCCAAGAUGUGACUUCUGACAUGAAGUUAAAAAAAAAAGGGAAAUUUUUAUAUCAGGUUCUUAAAUAAUGUUUUUAAAGAAAUUGCUGACAAUCAAGCUCAAACUUUUUCCAUCUCAAGCAAAGUCUAUUUUAUGCAAAUAAUUUAAGCAGUGGGUCUUCUUAGACAUGUUACCUGUUUAGCUAAGUUCAAUUGAACUCUUUAUUAGUCGUACUCUAAUACGCUAAGUGAUGCACCUCCACCCACUUUUUAACAAAAGAUUAAAUAGUAAAGACAAUUUUUCACAGCCUUCUUUGCUCAUAUUUACCAAGUCUGCCAAUAUUAGUGGAGGCCACUGUAUGUAAAUAAAUAAAUAAAUUAAAUAAAUAAAUAAAUAAAUAAAACUAUACAAAAAUGGUGGUGUUGAAUAUCUGUCUUAGUAAAAUGUGGUUAUAACGUUAUGAUCAGCCAUCAACUGACUAUAAUAUAUCUAUAUAAUAGUCAGCUGAUGGCUGAUCAUAUUGUGUUUUAAAAACUUGUUUAGUUUGCUCUACAGUCAUGUGUGCAGCUCUACUCAUCAAAACGUUCUCCAAUUUCUACUUCUGUUAGUUGUCACUGUGCUCUCCUUAUCAACAGGUGGCAGCACUACACAACAUGAUCAUCCUCUUGAUCUUAAGUACAAAAUUAUUUGUCAUUUGUCGUGUGAAGAAACUGGAUAACAUCUAGAGCAAACCCUAUGAUGGGUAAAGCUUUAUCUUGGCCAGAAAUGUAGACAAUGAGAAACAGUUUCGUAGGUAUUAAAACAUUCAGGGGGCAUGCGUCUAUGGGUAAAUAAUCAACAACAGGGUGGUGUGUUGUACCCUGGUACCCCAGUAACAGCAUGCUCUGAAAUGUUUGUCUUCCUCUUAUAAUCCAGCAAUUUGGCAGCAUUUACAAUUUCUCAUUUAUUAAUCAUACUGUUUAUCCAUUCAUAGAUGCAUUUACAUGCAGCUGGCACUAUUUUCAGACCUGCGCUUAUAGAAAAUGAGUCAACACCUUCUGAUCAAUCAGAAUUAAGCCGUGAUGAGCCUGGGGCUCCAAAUUGGCAAAGCUACUACCUCACAAAGAUUUCUACUGAAGGUCGUGAGUUCAAAUCUCAGCUCUGCCAGGCUGCCACUGUUGGGCCCUUGAGCAAGGUGUUAACGCUCAAAUGCUCAGUUCAUCAUGAAAUGAGAUCAAUGUAAGUCGCUCUUUAUAAGGUCGUUUACCAAAUGUCAUUUCUCUCUCUUUCUCUCUCUCUGUGGACUGACUUCACCAUGUACCAAUAAAUGUGUCCCUCAGGGGUUCAUUUUUGCCAUCUGCAUCUCUGUGAGUAUCACUUAUGUCUCGCAGAUGUUAUAAACAUGAUUGAGAGUUUGGACGAGGGCUUGUUGCUGCAUGAUUUUUACAGUUUCGACACACGAUGUCUACACACAUUAAAACAGGAGCACGUAACGGCUCUUGGUGUGUACAGUACCGGCAUAAUGUUCUGACUGGCACUAACGCUUCUAAACACAUGAAUUAUGAAAAUAAUAUGACAUUUAGAUAUGCUGUAAGAGAAGCAUGGGUGUGAGGUAAUUUAUUCCUACUAACAGUGUAGUAGUUGCACAGAAAAAUUCUCAGAGGUGAGUCCCAGGCGUUUUUCAUUUUGGCCAAACACCCCACAUAUUCAAUUUUAUUUUAUCUGUAUAGUGU
ensembl:lncRNA